rnacentral:tRNA from 1 species
GCCCUGGUGGCUUAGCCUGGUAUAGCACUUCCUUGGUAAGGAAGAGAUCGGGAGUCCAAAUCUCCCCCAGGGCU